UUAAUUGAAACCAAAAAGAGGUUUAUCACCGUUAAUGAUAAAAUUGAUUUCAUAAUCCAAUUAAA
rnacentral:tRNA from 1 species